rnacentral:lncRNA from 1 species
AAACUGAAAAGUGAUAUUUCAUAUGAGAUUUGACCGAUCCAACCGGAACAGAACAACACUGCUUAACAGAACACUGGAAUUUACAGCACAACUCAUUCAUAUGGUGAUGGGUCUGUAAAUGGAACAAAACCUUUCAUCCUAACCAAAGAUUUCUCCCAGGUACAAACACCAAUCAAAAGUAAACCUUCCAAAACCCUACUACUAAAUAACAGUUUUUGCAGGCCUUGUUUUUCCCUCCCUACUAUGUAUUACACUGGCAUCAGCAU